GCGGAGGCGUGCCCGGCCGGCGUGGGGAGUCCAGACGCGGCUCCCUGGGGGAUGCGAACUGGAAGCAGAAAUUGGGAAUGUUGGUCUGGAAGACAUUCCAGGCCGAGGCCCAGCGCGUGUCAAGGCCAGAAGACGACGGUUCCCGCAACAUGCGUUUGGGGGACGGGAGGAAAGCGGAACGUGACCGAAGGACAUCUGCAGGACGGACAGAACACUGCCUUACGGGAAAUCAGAGACUGCUCACGCACUGAACGUUUGCCCGUACUCAAAUACAUUAUUUUCUCUGCUUGGGGCACAGCCAAUGUUUAAGGAAAGCAUCUGCAACUUUUGCUUGCCAGUUUUAGAUAGAAAAAGCACAGGUUAAAGUCUGGGCAGCGGAUGCAUUAGGAGAUGGUGAUUUAAAAAAAAAAAUGAAGGAGGACACACUGAUUUAGGAAAUGAAAGACAAAGCAAGAUGGUG